rnacentral:rRNA from 1 species
UACGUAGGGUGCGAGCGUCAAUCGGAAUUACUGGGCGUAAAGCGUGCGCAGGCGGUUCGCUAAGACAGGUGUGAAAUCCCCGGGCUUAACCUGGGAAUGGCGCUUGUGACUGGCGGGCUGGAGUACGGCAGAGGGAGGUGGAAUUCCACGAGUAGCAGUGAAAUGCGUAGAGAUGUGGAGGAACACCGAUGGCGAAGGCAGCCUCCUGGGCCAGUACUGACGCUCAUGCACGAAAGCGUGGGGAGCAAACAGG